UCCUAAACGAUAAACAUUUAUUAGGAAUGAGCAUAUGCGGACUUCAAAUCGGCCAAGUUUUGUAAGCAGGACUGGCGAUGCGGGAUGAACCGAACAUACAGAUAAAGUAUCCAAGUCUUGCAUGAGGAGAACCAUAAAAGGUGUUCAUUCAUAUUGACAAUAGGACGAUGGCCAUGGAAGUUGGAAAUCGCUAAGGAGUGUGUAACAACUCACCUAUCGAAUGGAUGAGCCCUGAAAAUGGAAGGUAUUAUAAUGAGAGAGAGUGAUACUGUAUCCUUGUGGAGGCUGAGGCACACGAGGAGUAAGGA
rnacentral:ncRNA from 1 species